UAGAUUCUAAACUAUCUAAUAAUUAAAAUAAACACUAUUAUUUCUCGAUAACGACACCAAAAACUUGUUCGUAAAAAUUUCGCAAGCAUACGGCUUUGUUGUAUAGUAAUAAUUGUGAUGAGAGAGUUAUCAUCCCAUAUGGAAUAAAAGAUGGUUGGUUUGUAUCUAACUACAUUUUAUAACUACGAAAGCAAUAAAAAUUGGUUUAAAAUCAAAUGUGGAUGAACCUAUUGGAUAUCAUACUCCACUAAUCAACUCUUAGUUCCAAUUUUCAUCUUGUGACAAUAAACUCAAUUCAUGUAAUUAUGAUGAUCAAUAAUUUCACUUUUAUUUACUAUUCUUUUCCAAAAUAUAAUAAACUCAUGAUCAUCACAAAACAAUCAUGUUCCUAGUCCGAAUUCAUAUGACAAACAUGUAUGAUGUUUAGGAUUAUUACACAAGAUCGCACACGCCAUAAAUACUAUUUCUAAUAUUUAUUGCCGGUGUAUUCCAUAAAUAGUGUUCUAAGUGACGUGAAUUUUUCAACAGUACGAAUAAGCAAUUAUUGCCCUAAUGGUGCGAAGAUAUUAAAAUAAUGUAAUUAUGCAUGGUGAUGGAAUUUUAAUGCAAGAAUUAAGUUAAAAACAUAAAGUCUCAAAUUAAAAAUUAAGAAUCAAAGAGUUUUAUCAUCCAUCCAAUACAAAGAUGUUUAGCCUAGCAUAUUAAUGUAGGAAUUACAAAUAAAAUAAAAUAAAGCCAUCACUCGAAACUUUAAGCUAUGAAGAAAAUCUGGAACUCUUCAAUUAAAGCCUUUAAAUCUAGAUCCAAUGAUGAAUUCUUCGUUCUUUGGUAUAAAUUCUCUCUGUCAUCUCUCAAAAUUUGACUCCCUUUGUUAUGGACGUGUUGUCUUAUUUUAUAGGAUGCUGGAAAAAUUGCUUACCAAAAUAAAAUGAGGAAAGAGAGAUUUUCUCCCAUUUUACACUGAGGAAUGCCUAGUAUAAACUAGGGCGUGCGCCUUAUUGCUUGGGGUGCUUCAACACUUUGAGGGCCACCCUUAAACUUUUUCUAAGGUCUUUGUUUCGUCUUUCUUAACUUCUUUUGCUUAUCUUUUUUGUCCAAUUGAGUUUUUGCAAUCUUGAAUCUUCAUUUUGCAAUCUUACCCAACAUUUGAAUUAUUGCAUUUUAGUCGCCGAACUUUGUAUUUGAUGCAAUUGAGACCUUUUUCUCGCUUAUUUCCAUUAUUCCCUUCUCUUUCAUCGAUUGUUACCUACAAACUGUAUAUACAUAGGAUUAAGCCAUGUUUCAUCCAAUUCACGAGCAAAUAAUCAAUUUUAACGUCUCAAUUAAGUGUAUAAAAUACACUUAUCAAUUGCCAAGAUUGAGAAAGUGGAAAAGGUGGACAUACGAUCAAAGUGAAUAUAGUUGAUAAAGGCAAGCAUUCGGUCAUAUUUAAAGACGAUGACAUCCCUGAGAUAAAAAAAAUGUUUUUGGAGAGUGACGACUUCAAUGACCCUGAAAUCUCCUCUUAUUACACUCUAGAAACAAAAGCCAAAGAAGUCAACCUUGUGACUAUAAAGAAGCACUUUACGUGGGAUGUAAUUCAUUCUCUAUCCCAUUAUCUUGUAUUUUGAGGGUGUAGUUUUUCUUCUUCAUGAAAUUGAAAUUAGCUUAUAUAUAGUCAUCCUAAAGAUAAUUAAAAUGUCCAACACAGUUCAUAUCUUUUCUGCCUCAUGCUUCAAAAAAUAUGAACAUGAUUUAAAUUAAGUUGUUUCAGAGGACAAUGGACAAGAUUUUACUUUGUUUUUCUUCGUUAUAAAUUUUCAAUAUUGUCCACAACAAACGUGACAUCAAUGAAUAACAAAUUGUACUUAUGUUAACCGGAUAUUAUAUUGAAAAAGAUCAAAAGAUAUUCCUGGAAAAAAUUGAAAAUUCUUCGUUGAAACUCAAAAUGUUCUAAUUAUUAUGAUAACACAUGGAUAUAAAGGGCAUUCGAGUGAUGUUGAAGAUGAUGACGACGAUGAAGAUUUUGUUGAUACACUACCGAGAAGGAAAAAGACACCUUUCCAUUUCCACCCACCAGAUGAGGAGCAUGCAACGCGGGAAUAUUAUCCUAUAGAGCCAGAGGGGCAUGACAUCCAUACUUCAACCUCGCCGUAGGCUACCCGUGCAGAUGAUGAACCACAACCAGCUGUGUUUGACAAGUUGAGAGAGGAGUUACACGAACAGAUGACCAAACUCCAGUGUAAUAAUAAAGAGUUAACAGUGCAUCUCAAGGAUCUAAAGUCAUAACUAUUAGACUUAAAACGAGAUAAGAAUAGUCAGAUUGAUCAACUUUUCCGUGUCCAAGGUGAAAUUCGAUUGGACAUGAUGGAAAUACGGUUGAGCAUAACAUUCUUGUCCGAUUUUGUUACUGCUUUAAUAUCGAGUACGAUGGAUGCAAUUUUAGCAAAAGCAACUGAGAAGAUUGAAGCUCACAGCGUUGGAGAUGCACCAUAACAGGAGAAGAUAUGUAAUUCUAUAAUCGAAAUUCUUUUUUGCUGUCAUUACCUUAAGUUGUCUAUUAAUAUUUAUGUUACAACAGGUCACAGACGUUGAACAAAAUAUCGAUAGGAAAGGCAAGGGCAAGAUGGACCCAGCUGACAAAAUUGAAUAUCUGUCCUUUCCUCCGACCCCGUCUUUCGACUUGGGUGUUGCUUCAACACCAAUCAUUUCUAAUGAGGUUGAUGCCAUUAUAGCUGGUGUGGUGAAGGACUGUGCAUUUAUGAGGACCAAGUACUUCAUAUCACAAACACCUUACAUGAGGACAAAGUACUUCAUAUCGCAUUGCAUACAUUUAUGGGUCACAAACACCUUACAUAUUGACUUGAAAAUGUGGCACUGCGCGCAUAUCACCUUUCAUCUUUACACGUGAUAUUAUUAGAUGCUUGAGUAUACGAUAUAUGUCACAAAUAUUUAUCUACAUGUCACAACUAUGUGAUCACAUGACAUAUUGUCUGCACAAAUAUAUUUAUUCAAACAAUGCAUUCAUUGUUUUCCAACAUGCAUGCAAGGAUCUCCUCCUUCCGCACUGACAUCAGGUUUGUCAAUUAAGAGAGCCCUUAGACCCACACGAAUACUACAAUCCCCAUAUGUUACUAGUGCUGGAAAACAAAUUAAGCAUUCCGAUGAUACUAUUGUUUUCGACAAGCAUGACAAGAAAGCGGACGAGGCUGAUGUUGUUGCAUUUCAAAACUGGUUUAAUAGAGGUUACAAACUAGUUUAAUAGAGGUUACAAACUAAGGAACAAGUACGCACAUUUGAUGUCAUGUGCUCUAAUCUAUAAAGUUGGGUAAUCUGGGGUUUUAAUUUAUAUUUAGUUGCUAUCUUCCCAUUUCAGAAAGAAGUUUAAUGAUGCUGAUGAUGUCAUUCAUCCACCUUUUUUACUCGGUUCAAUUUCCAUGGGGUCGAAAACCUGGUGGCAUCAACUUAUAGAUUCGAAAUCUUCAUUGAGUAGCAUGGUAUGAUCCUUGCAAUUGGUCACAUAUCACAAAGUCACAAUAUUAUGUACACAGGUCACACACACACAGAGGUCACAGAUCACUGAAAUGGGGUCACAUAUCAUACCUACAGAGGUCACAGAUUACUAAAAUGGGGUCACAGAUCUCAUCAGUGUAUGCACAGGUUACUGAAGUUCGGGAAAUGUAACACAGGUCACAAUAUUAUGCACACAGGUCAAAGAUGUUUCGAAUUGGGUCACAGAUCUUAGGUCACAACAUUAUAUGCACAGGUCAUAGUUAUUUGAAAUGGGUCAUAGAUCUGAGGUUACAAUAUUAUGGUUUUCACAGGUCAUCAGUCUUCUAUGUGAGGUACAUUAAACGUGUGCCUAAUUACAUCAUUCAUAAGUUAAUCUUUCCAUGCUUUUUAACUUUCUGUCACAUUUUACAGCAUAUGGACGUCUGUUUUCAUUAUCUGUUAUAGUUUGCACUGAAAAGUCAAGAUGAAAGAUUGUGUGCUACCACAACUGAUUGUUUGUUCAAGGCUAAUAUAAAACAACAUAUUUUUCCAGUUUCAGAAAGACCCAAAUGUGAAAAUGACGGAUAACUACAUUGUUGAUGUUGCUAUCGGUAGACGUUUAGAAUUCAAUUGCCCUUGGUCCUAAGUUGAUUAUGUAUUUUUGUUAAUUUUGUCAAUCAAUCGCGCACUUUGGAUGCUCUGUAGACUUAAUAUAAAAAAUCAUAAGAUGUACGUAUACAACUCAAGCUACAAGACCCAUCGUGAAAAAAUGGUUUUGGUCGGGGUUGACCCCUUUGUCAGAGUUAUCCCGCAUUUGUUGUUUGUUUUGGGCAUCAGGAAUAAAAUCGCUGUUAAUUCGGGUACAGAUCCAAUUGUGAUGAAGGUGUUGCUUAUAGAUGACACUCCGCAUCAACAAAAUGGUCAUGAUUGUGGCAUCUUUGUCAUUAAGUACGUAGAGUACAUGCUACGUGAUGACAUUAAGUCCAUGCCGAUGAAUUUUGAUGCGAGCUGAGCUAGGUUGGAUAUUGCCACCCGAUUGUUUAAGCACAAGGAUAUCAAGAAGCCAACUCAGUUGGUACAGUCGAAGGGAGAUAGCAUUGUCGUAGAGUGACUGUAGAAAGUUUGUAUAGUGGUUAGAAUACUUUUUGGUGGUUUAUGUUUUCGCAAUGGAUGGAGUUUAUUUUGUUCAUGUAACUUCAAAUCGCUUAUUGUUGAAGUGUAUUAAUGAAAACAAAACAACUUGCCUAUGGUUAUGACAA